rnacentral:rRNA from 1 species
CCUACGGGAGGCAGCAGUAGGGAAUAUUGGACAAUGGGGGGAACCCUGAUCCAGCGACGCCGCGUGAGUGAAGAAGUAUUUCGGUAUGUAAAGCUCUGUCAGCAGGGAAGAAAGAAAUGACGGUACCUGACUAAGAAGCCCCGGCUAACUACGUGCCAGCAGCCGCGGUAAUACGUAGGGGGCAAGCGUUAUCCGGAUUUACUGGGAGUAAAGGGAGCGUAGACGGCGAUGCAAGUCUGAAGUGAAAGGCGGGGGCUCAACCUCCGGACUGCUUUGGAAACUGUAUGGCUGGAGUGCAGGAGAGGUAAGUGGAAUUCCUAGUGUAGCGGUGAAAUGCGCAGAUAUUAGGAGGAACACCAGUGGCGAAGGCGGCUUACUGGACUGUAACUGACGUUGAGGCGCGAAAGCGUGGGGAGCAAACAGGAUUAGAUACCCUUGUAGUC